CAAUAAGUUAACCUACAUUAACGUUGCUUUUAAAUAACAAAGUAGCAGCAUAGUGUUUAGUCUAAACCUCAUUGAGGUGAAACCAAACAGCAGAGACUACGGUGAAACGUUCAGCUGCGUAACUGUUUUCAUUUUGUUAUGAUGGAAAACGUUACGAAAACAGUAAUUGUGGAAAUCGAUGGGAAUUAUGAAUUCGAAGUAGAGUUCCAGAGUGGUGGUUUGAAUUGUGAUUUGCAAGGAAUUCUUAAGUGCAUGAAAUCUAAAUCUAACAGAGUAAAGGAAAUUUCACACUAAACAACAUUUGUAUUUAAAAGACAAAGUGAAAAGUUCCCUGGUGAAUGGGUCACAGUAGGGGAUUUGUCACCAGUAAAGGACAUGUGCACCUUGCAGUGUAAUGUAAAGCCUUCUCGUUCAAAAGUCCAUUUAAACGACUCAACUUAUAAUAAUGACCCUCUUAAAGAAACCUGUUUGGUCGAAGACAAUUGGGAGGAGUUUACAACUGAGGAAAACACUUCGUUAUCCAUGUCUGCCUCAAUAUCCAGAAUGAACAAUGACUCACGUUUUGAAGGUGUCUGUAUAGGUAAAAUGAAAAUUUGCAAGUUAUCCCAUGUUUGUCUUGAAUGUUGAAAUCUUAUUUCUAUUAGAAAAGGAACGACAAAUCCAAGUUGUUGAAGCAUCUGUUUCCAAAACACUAUCUACAUUUGUCAUAUUGGAAGAAGCAGAUGGAAAUUUGCAGUCACAACCUCUACCGAACAUGGAAAAUACUCACGAAUUUGUCAGAGGAAACCAUGUAUUACCAACGCACGUUCCUAACAAACGAAAUCAAGGUAUUCAUGCUGCAGCUACAAUGAAUCGUAAAAUAGAUAAAAAAAGUUUCACUCUGCCAAACCUUCUUGACUUCCAGGCCAUUACAUAUUAAAUUGUGACACAUUGACUCAUUUUAAUACCUUUUAUUUCUUGAGGAAUUAUUGAAAAAGAAGAGAACUACAGACUUCAAACUUCUUGGAGCAAGAGAGCGACAGUGAGAGAGUGAAGCUAAACAGCAUCCUUUUUGGGGUGGAUGGUUCAGCAACCAUAAAUUGCUGAACCGUUGCAAUUUAGUCUCAACAUUACACGGGUUUUUGGUUGAGGAAUUUCCGAAAACACGAUUGCACCGACUACGGAUUGUUUAAAAUGGGUAGUUUCAAAACUAUUUGACACAUAUGGAAAAGCUAUUAUGGCUGAUCCGAACAAUGAAGACGUAUCUAUGGUAAC